rnacentral:rRNA from 1 species
CAGUCGAACGGAGCUGAGAGGAGCUUGCUUUUCUCAGCUUAGUGGCGAACGGGUGAGUAACGCGUGAGUAACCUGCCCUGGAGUGGGGGACAACAGUUGGAAACGACUGCUAAUACCGCAUAAGCCCACGAUCCGGCAUCGGAUUGAGGGAAAAGGAUUUAUUCGCUUCAGGAUGGACUCGCGUCCAAUUAGCUAGUUGGUGAGGUAACGGCCCACCAAGGCGACGAUUGGUAGCCGGACUGAGAGGUUGAACGGCCACAUUGGGACUGAGACACGGCCCAGACUCCUACGGGAGGCAGCAGUGGGGGAUAUUGCACAAUGGGGGAAACCCUGAUGCAGCGACGCCGCGUGGAGGAAGAAGGUUUUCGGAUUGUAAACUCCUGUCGUUAGGGACGAUAAUGACGGUACCUAACAAGAAAGCACCGGCUAACUACGUGCCAGCAGCCGCGGUAAAACGUAGGGUGCAAGCGUUGUCCGGAAUUACUGGGUGUAAAGGGAGCGCAGGCGGACCGGCAAGUUGGAAGUGAAAACUAUGGGCUCAACCCAUAAAUUGCUUUCAAAACUGCUGGCCUUGAGUAGUGCAGAGGUAGGUGGAAUUCCCGGUGUAGCGGUGGAAUGCGUAGAUAUCGGGAGGAACACCAGUGGCGAAGGCGACCUACUGGGCACCAACUGACGCUGAGGCUCGAAAGCAUGGGUAGCAAACAGGAUUAGAUACCCUGGUAGUCCAUGCCGUAACGAUGAUUACUAGGUGUUGGAGGAUUGACCCCUUCAGUGCCGCAGUUAACACAAUAAGUAAUCCACCUGGGGAGUACGACCGCAAGGUUGAAACUCAAAGGAAUUGACGGGGGCCCGCA